GAUGAACGCUAGCGGCAAGCCUAACACAUGCAAGUCGAGUGGCAGCAUAAUUAUUCGCAAGAAUAAUGGUGAGACCGGCGCACGGGUGCGUAACGCGUAUGCAACCUACCUUUUACUGGGGUAUAGCCCGGAGAAAUCCGGAUUGAUCCCCCAUAGUACUGACAAUUCGCAUGAUGAGUCAGUUAAAGUUUUGGCGGUAAAAGAUGCGCAUGCGUCCUAUUAGCUAGAUGGUAAGGUAACGGCUUACCAUGGCUACGAUAGGUAAGGGGCCUGAGAGGGUGGUCCCCCACACUGGUACUGAGACACGGACCAGACUCCUACGGGAGGCAGCAGUGAGAAAUAUUGGUCAAUGGGCGCAAGCCUGAACCAGCCAUGCCACGUGCAGGAAUAAUGUCCUAUGGAUUGUAAACUGCUUUUAUUUGGGAAUAAACCCCCCGACGUGUCGGCGUCUGAAGGUACCAAAUGAAUAAGCACCGGCUAACUCCGUGCCAGCAGCCGAGGUAAUACGGAGGGUGCAAGCGUUAUCCGGAAUCAUUGGGUUUAAAGGGUCCGCAGGCGGGCAUAUAAGUCAGUGGUGAAGGCCUACAGCUCAACUGUAGAACUGCCAUUGAUACUGUAAGUCUUUAAUUCGGUCGAAGUGGGCGGAAUGUGUAGUGUAGCGGUGAAAUGCAUAGAUAUUACACAGAACACCGAUAGCGAGGGCAGCUCACUAGGCCUGGAUUGACGCUCAGGGACGAAAGCGUGGUGAUCAAACAGGAUUAGAUACCCUGGUAGUCCACGCUGUAAACG
rnacentral:rRNA from 1 species